GUCGACUUAGUUUAUUUAGAAUCAUUGUUUUGCAAAUAAUAGGAGGGUAAUUCUACCCAGUCUACA
rnacentral:tRNA from 1 species